GGUUUUAUGGUGGAAAAAAGACGUUAGAUUGCAAAUCUGAAAAUAUAUUAAUAGUAUUAGAACCU
rnacentral:tRNA from 1 species